CUGCAUCCUCAAACCUCCUGGUUGUUUUUCUCUCACAGCCCAGGACAAAAAGGAAUGCUAGAUAAAACAUUCAGAGAAUUCCAAAAUGCUGAGCUCCACUUGUGCUUGUCAUUAUUUCACAUCUCUGACACCU